rnacentral:tRNA from 1 species
GCUCUUCUAGUAUAUCCAUUACAAUUGACUUCCAAUCAUUAAAAUCUGGUACCACCCCAGAGAAGAGCA